rnacentral:rRNA from 1 species
UACGUAGGGGGCGAGCGUUGUCCGAAGUUACUGGGCGUAAAGCGCGCGUAGGCGGGUCACUAAGUGAGAAGUGAAAGGCUGGGGCUCAACCGCAGCAGUGCUUCUCAUACUGGUGGUCUUGAGGGCGGUAGGGAGAAGUGGAAUGGCUGGUGUAGCGGUGAAAUGCGUAGAUAUCAGUCGGAACACCGGUGGCGAAGGCGGCUUCUUGGGCCGUUCCUGACGCUGAGGCGCGAAAGCCAGGGGAGCGAACGGG